ACCAGUGUUUCUCGAGGGCAGUCUUGUUUCCUUGCAGCAGGAACGGUCAUAGAGGUGUCCAAAUAAUCACUUUCAUGGAUGGUUGCUGUAUGGUUGUAACAAUAGACUUUUCAACAACAUAAAGGAAAAGGAUAUAU